UACGGGGGGGGCAAGCGUUGUUCGGAAUUACUGGGCGUAAAGGGCUCGUAGGUGGUCAACUAAGUCGGACGUGAAAUCCCUCGGCUUAACCGGGGAACUGCGUCCGAUACUGGAUGACUUGAGUUCGGGAGAGGGAUGCGGAAUUCCAGGUGUAGCGGUGAAAUGCGUAGAUAUCUGGAGGAACACCGGUGGCGAAGGCGGCAUCCUGGACCAACACUGACACUGAGGAGCGAAAGCCAGGGGAGCAAACGGG
rnacentral:rRNA from 1 species